UUCGCAAUGCCCGAAAGGGUGACGAAGCGACGCCGCGUGCGGGAAGAAGGCCUUCGGGUUGUAAACCGCUGUCGGGAGUUAGGAAGUGCAAGGAUGUUAAUUGCGUCUUUGCUUGACUAAGGCUCCGGAGGAAGCCACGGCUAACUCUGUGCCAGCAGCCGCGGUAAUACAGAGGCGGCAAGCGUUGUUCGGAAUUAUUGGGCGUAAAGAGCACGUAGGCGGCUGUGUAAGUCGGUUGUGAAAGCCUUCCGCUCAACGGAAGAACGGCAUCCGAUACUGCAUGGCUCGAGUGCGGGAGGGGAGAGUGGAACUUCUGGUGGAGCGGUGAAAUGCGUAGAUAUCAGAAGGAACACCGGCGGCGAAGGCGACUCUCUGGCCCGUAACUGACGCUGAGUGUGCGAAAGCUAGGGGAGCAAACGGGAUUAGAUACCCCGGUAGUCCUAGCCGUAAACGAUGGGCACUAAGUAGAGGGGUUUU
rnacentral:rRNA from 1 species